AUCUGAGACAACUAAAAUGUGAAACUGACACUUAAACUUUCGCAACCACUUUGUGACCUUAGUGUGGUAAUCCUGUUGAAGUGACAGUCCUGACAUCUAUACCAUAUAGUGAUGUCCAUGUGCACCCUGGCAUCAUUCAUAGUGUGAUCUGUUGGUCAUUGGAAGACAGUUGGCAGGUUUGGUGCUGGACACUGUAGUACUGUAUCCAUCAAGACUAUCUGCCAGACAUAUUGGCUGGAAGAAUUUUGUCUACAUGUUAAAAUGAUGGCUGGACCUUAAUACAAGUUCAGUUGUUGGGAACUGCAAAACACUGUUCAAAGGAAGCUACAAAAAAACAGCAUGCCAGCCUGGAAGUAUAUUGGGUGUACAGUAGCAGAUAAAGUCAAUAUGUAUCUGUGUUACAUGUUAGGCCAUGUCCAUUACAUUACAUGGAUGACAUCCGCACACGCAUCAAUUUUCCUUUAAAAAGAAAGAAAAAUUUUAGUUAGACUGUAAGCCGUACAAAGCAGCUACAAAACGAGUAAAUGCAUGCUGUAAAUAGAAUAGAAAAUAUCAAAAAACGGGUAUGAACGUCACAGAAUGCCAAUAUAGAACAAAACUGUUUUUAAUGGUAGUCCAUACACUGUGUGUUUAGUCCUUUGUUCGACCUUCCUGACUGACUACUUCGUAGAUUUCAUAAUGAAGGUAACUUUCUUUUGCACCCUUGCAGCAGUUUUGGGUGGGGGUUCCAGACAAUAUCAUCCAUAUAUUUGAAUCAAUAUGGCCUUCUUCUUAAUGCCUUAUGUCUACCGUAAAUCUCGAAACUUUCGAUGUAGCUUUACUUGUGAGUUUUUUUCGAUGACCUCUCUACUGCAAAUUCGUGACACUGAAAAUAUGUGUCCCUUGUAUAAGUAUUGUGAUACAAAAUUACAAAAGAUGUGCAUUCAAAACACUGUCAAAACAUUAUCUUCCCUCUAUGGGUGAAAUAAGACCACUGCAAAAGUAUAAGAAUUUACAGUGCUGUGCCAAGGAUGCCUUCAGCAAGGGACAAGCACCUGUUAGGUGUUCCAUUUCUGCAUGGCCCCCCAAAUCCCUGACAUCCCUGUACCUCCGCACACUCCUCACCACUGAUUUAUGCAAGGCAGAGAUGACAGGUGAAAAGGGGGGGAAGAACAAGUAAUUGUGCCUACAUCUACAAUAUCACCUUGGCUGGAGGGCACCGAUUUCCCUGGGCACUUCCCUCAUUGUUGGUGAGUUUACAAGAUUUAGUGCGGUGGCAAAUAAAAGUGACAAUCUUUGAAUUGUUAAAUGCCGAAGUGGCGGAGGUAUCAGUGAUUUGUCUGGGUCCUUCUGUGUGGUGUAUCGCCUGAUCCCGGACUCGGGAGGGACAGGACUCCCAGCAGAUUCUGGUGGCUCUCUUUAUAGGUGCUGGCAAAAUGGUAGCGGGACAUUUCGCCGCCAAGAUGUUUUGCCGACAACUGCCGUCACCUGCACAAUUGGUCUAUAAAUUACUACACAUCACCGUUUCUAGCUAAAUUUCUGUUGUUAGGCUUAUCGUAAUGGUUAGGGUUAGAAUUUUUCUAUAGGUGCUUGCAAAAUGGUAGCGGGACACUUCGCCGCCAAGAUGUUUUGCCGACAAUUGCCGUCACCUGCUAUAAAUUCCUACAAAUCACCGUUUCUAGCUAAAUUUCUGUUGUUAUGCUUAUCGUAACGAUUAGGGUUGGAAUGUUUUCUACAGGUGAUUGAAAAUGGUAUCAGGACAUUUUGCCAUCCCCCGUACAGUUUUGGUCUAUAAAUUCCAACAAAUGUCCGCUUGUAGUUAAAUUACCAAGGUGAUGGUUAUCAAUACAGUAACAAUAAGGGUUAAAUUUUUUCCAUAGAUGCUUGAAAAUGGUAUCUAGACUUUUUGCCGCCAAGACAUCUUGUCAUCACUUGCACAAUUGGUCUGUGAAUUCAAGUACUAAUAAAUCACUGUUAGAUGCUAUAACUUUCUAUUGUUAUGGUUAUGGAUACAGCAAGCGUCUUAAUUUUUGAUGGCAAAAGGCCUCGGUGGCAAAGCCUUUAGAAAAUCUCGCAAAUUCAUACAGUACAUAUUCAUUGCUGAACAUGUACAUGGAAAAAGUUGUGUCAUGUUAGUCUACAGACUGUGAUCCUCUUGGCUAAAGCCUGACUAAAUCAGGCUUCUAGCAGCCCUUUCACUACCCUGGAUGCCAGACUGCUUCCAGGGCCUACACAGGCCAGCUCCUUGGCUCUAGGGCCAACAUGCCCCCAAGGAAAUUUUACCACAGGCCCCUGGAGUUAGACUCUAGAAUAGAUAUCAUAGCCAGAUCCACGCUACCCUUCAACUACAGAGACCCAAUAAGCCCCCGACAGAGAGAGAUGUGUAACGUGGGCUGUUGUCCCCCUAUAGUGACGUCCCUCAUCCUACAACAUGGUACAUGUAACAUGUACAUAAGGCGAGCCAGGGUCUAUCUAACUGUAAGGCUGUAUCUUCUCACAGUGACAAGACGUAACCACUUGUCAGAUGGUGCUUGUUAUGUAUUGAUACCGUAAGCACCCCUCCUGCAGGCGUGGAAACUGUAGGAGAUCAGACCUGACAAGAUGGCCACUUUGCGCACAGUUUUUCCACAAACAGGGCCUGACUGCCUGCUGACAGAGCAUUACAACAAAAAGGUUUCAAUGCCAAGAUUCCUUUGCGCGGCGCAAGGACGUUGCCGUACCGAGUGCUUGACUCGGGCCACAUUUUUGGAAUCGCUGACUGGGGCUGGAUACAUUGGUUUCAAAGGUAAAACAUUCUGCUCGAGACCUCUAAGUUCAGCGGUAGUGUUUGUAUUUCAACUACAGCAUGGCCGGUACUACAUCAAGUGUGCACCCAUGCCAGGGCCCACUUUACCGCUUGUUUUGGCAGCUUUUUCCAAGCUCUUGCAAACUGUGGGAAUUGGCCCGAGUCGUUACUUGUAUUUACAGAAACGAGUGAAGCUGAUACGAAAGUAAAGAAAUUGAAAGGAAACAUUCUCUUCUGUUUCUUUGCAGUGAAUGCAUGGACGAGCUGAUGUAUAGUUCUUAAUGAUUUUAUGAUGUAAAUCAUGUCAGUGCAACAGAAACAAGUGAAGUUGAUCAGUAAGUAAGGGAAGACCCAACCAUCUUUUCUGUUUCUUUACAGUGAAUACCUGGACAACUUCAGAUACAAUUUUGCUAGAUUUCAUGAUGUAUGUCAGUACAAUAGAAACAAGUAAAGCUGAU